rnacentral:rRNA from 1 species
GACAGAGGGUGCAAACGUUGUUCGGAUUUACUGGGCGUAAAGCGCGCGUAGGCGGACCUGCAAGUCGGGGGUGAAAGCCCGAGGCUCAACCUCGGAACUGCCUUCGAUACUGCGGGUCUCGAGUCCGGGAGAGGUGAGUGGAAUUCCUAGUGUAGAGGUGAAAUUCGUAGAUAUUAGGAAGAACACCAGUGGCGAAGGCGGCUCCCUGGCCCGGUACUGACGCUGAGGGGCGAAAGCGUGGGAGCAAACAGG